rnacentral:lncRNA from 1 species
CCGACCUUCACAUAAGCUUGCUUGGAGUACAGAAACAGUUUCUGAAUCUGAAAGACUUCUCCGACCCUGAGUUGCAGUGAAACAGCUGAUGCCAACCAGUCAGAAGACCCUCAUAGAGGAAUGAAAUCAGCAUGAGAAUACAGCUUCUUCAUCAUCCUGUCCCAUUACUUCACCUUACACUCUGACCAAUCAACAAUCUCCACACUUCAGCCCAGUCCAAAACCCUUAAAAACUCUAGGCCCAAACUUCUCAGGGAGAUGGAUUUGAGGUUUUCUCUCAUCUCCUAGUUUGGUGACCCCCAGAUUAAACCUUUUUCUCUGCUGCAAAAAAAAAAAAAAAAAA